ACUGGCUCACAUCUAAACUAAAAUUAAAACUCACUCAUCUUGAACAAUUGAGCAAAGCACUCGUGUGUUCUUACGCCUAUUUACUUACAAGAUGAUGCUCCUACGGGUUUUCAUGGUGUUAUCUAUAAUUGCAACUGCAAUGGCUUCUCGGUUGCCUCGUUCAAAUGAAGGCUCUAUAGAAGGCCAUCAAAAAUGUAUCGCGAUAAACGGCGAAGAAGGCCUCUGUGUUAAUGAGAGUUUAUGCACUGAAGAACAUACGAUCAAGCCCGGAGGAGUGUUGGACGAUACUGAAUAUAGAUCAUCAUUAAAAAUACAAAAAAGAAGACGUAGAGCAUUGAAGACCUGUCCAGGUUUAUUAGAUUGGUGCUGCACUAUAGAACGCGUCUCUCGAACACUGUUAACCCCAAACAAAUAGUAACAUAACUAUAAUGGAACUAUCCGGCUUUGGUUUACAAAGGAUUAAUCAUAGUAAAACAGAAAAAAUAAAGUUAAUUUAAUACAAGAGGAAAAAUAUAUUGAUAUGAACAGAGAUAUAUUCAAAUUUCCUCUAGGUACUCCAUAUCCAAGCACUUAUAUAUUUGGUUACUUUAAAAUUAAAUUAGUCUACUUUAGGUAAUAUGUAUUUUCUUUUAUUAAAAAUAUUAUUAUCUU